UUCUUUGGGUAUUUCCAGUCAUAGCAUCUGUAGCAGUAGACUUUUCCAACAACUUUAACGAUCAAGGAAUGAUGAGGAGGAUAGUAAGGAGUUGGGGGUGGUGGUGAAGUGUAGUAGUAAGGUGGAGGAGGUGACUUAACUGGUGGUGGAGGGGAGGAGUAGUAGUAAGGUGGAGGAGGUGACUUAACUGGUGGGGGAGGGGAGGAGUAGUAGUAAGGAGGAGGAGGUGACUUAACUGGUGGUGGAGGGGAAGAGUAGUAGUACGGUGGUGGAGGUGACUUAACUGGUGGUGGAGGAGAGGAGUAGUAGUACGGUGGAGGAGGUGACUUAACUGGUGGUGGAGGGGAGGAGUAGUAGUACGGUGGAGGAGGUGACUUAGCAGGUGGUGGUGGGGACUUGUAAUAGUAAGGUGGUGGGGGAGAGGGUGAAGGGGGUGGUGGUGAUUUAUAGUAGUAUGGUGGAGGUGGUGAUGGAGAAGGUGGUGGGGGAGACUUGUAAUAAUAAGGUGGAGGUGGUGAAGGUGAAGGUGGUGGCGGGGAUUUGUAGUAAUAUGGUGGUGGAGGUGAUGGUGAAGGAGGUGGUGGUGAUUUAUAUACAUAUGGUGGUGGUGGAGAUGGUGAUGGAGGUGGUGGCGACUUGUACACAUACGGCGGUGGAGGAGAUGGUGAAGGAGGAGGUGGCGACUUGUAAACGUAUGGAGGUGGUGGAGAUGGUGAAGGAGGUGGCGGUGAUUUAUACACAUAGGGUGGUGGUGGAGAUGGUGACGGUGGUGGUGGAGACUUGUACUCAUAAGGCGGUGGCGGAGAAGGAGAAGGAGGGGGUGGUGACUUGUAUUCGUAAGUUGGUGGUGGGGGAGAAGCAUAUACAUAAGGGUCAGCAGAAACAAUAUUAGCAACAGCCAAAAUGGCCAAUGCCACUAAGAUUUGUGGCACAUGACGACCCCGGCGGGGGUCGCCACCGUUAAGCCUCAUUGCUAGUCGGAAAAUUGCGACACCAACUCCUCUAAUGUGGCAAUGCAAAUCUGCACACUGUCGGAAGUGUGAGAAAAGAGAAAGAGAAGAAGCUUUAGUUGAGAGGUAAUGACUUAAGAGGAAGCAAUGGCCUAAGUAUUUAUAGUAACACUUAGUGAGACUGUGAGAGGCAGUCGUUGGUAUGGAGCUGUCAAUUGGCACCAAUUUAGUUUGUCCGAUUGAGAAUCAAGACUUUUCAAAUUAUGAACUCUAUACAGCUGGACUUCUCAAAAAAAUUUUAAGUUCCAUUACUUCAUCACUCUGCAUUUUCCAUUGUUUUUUUUUUCUCUAACAAGUGGUUACCUGCUACAUAGAUUUACAAAAAGAACAUAACAUUAUGCAGAGACGCAUGCUAUAAUUGUGUAAGGGAAAUAAGGAGUGUUUUUAAUUUUUUACAUUUUCACUCUUCGUUUCGUUUUCAAUAUUUUUGUUGCCUCUGAACCUUAAUGAAAAGUGGGAUCAUAGAAUUUGGUCUUUUAUUGUUGUCUUCCAUGGUUCUGUUUUCCUAGCCGCCGGGGUGGGGAUGGGGUGGGGGUGUGGGGUCCUAGGAAAUUAGGGUAGGUGGAGUUGCCUUUAAUUUGAGGUGCCCCUGUUUUACCACUAACCAAAUUAAUCAAAGCCAAUAGAUGUGUAAGCUUCACAAUUUGAGGAAAACUAUUUAUAUGGAGUAUGUAUUAUUGUUGAUUUAUGUUUUCUUACUGAUUCAUGUGAGCAUUUUAUCCACCAGAUACUUCACGAGCAAGUUAAAUUCUCUCAUCAAUAAGCCAAUGCACAAGAAUCUUAUCUUCUCCUUCUAUAUAUGCACGUGCGACCACAAAUAGUUACAAAAGUAAAGUUAAACACCACUUUAAUUAACUUUUAUUUAAUCUUAGCUUAUGGUAAAUAUUAAACAAAUUAAACAUUGAAGCUGGGGGUCUUCAUUAUCGCACUUCCCUGGAAGAACAACUUACUCUUACUUGAUAUUUACAUUAAACCAUUAAAUACAAGUGUCUUUCACAUAAAUAUUUAUUGCUUAAUCAAAGUUAACGGAUACAUAUUUUAUAUUAUUAACUUGUAACUGUGAAGGUUAAAUUGCUUAUUUUGAUGAAAUAUUGAGCACCAAUAUAAGUAUUUCCUUGAAAAAAACACCGAGGGUGUGAUUAGUUGGUGGCAUUGUCUUUUUUCAAACUUGAUAGCUUCAAGAAAAAGUAACCCUUAACUAUGGAAGAUGCAUAGUUCGAAUUACAUUAUGUUUGUUAAGUGUCGAUGGCUAUAGAAAAAUUUUAUCUUUGCCAACUGGAAAACUGGAAAUAGUCCUCAAGAAACUUUGAAGGGGACAUUUUGUUUGACAUUAAAACGUCUCAAGAAAUCCAUAUGGAACUCUCUCAGCGUUUUCCUAGAUAUAUGAAUAAUAAAUAAAUACAUACAUAAAUAAAUAUUACUAAAAGUUUAGUUUUUUAUGUUUUCUUCAUUAUCAAUUGGAGAAGCAUUUUGUUU
rnacentral:lncRNA from 1 species